rnacentral:rRNA from 1 species
UGAGCAACCUGCCCCGAAGACCGGGAUAACCCGAGGAAACUCGAGCUAAUACCGGAUGUCCUCACCCGACCGCAUGGACGGACGAGGAAAUGGUCAGCCGCUUCGGGAUGGGCUCGCGGUCUAUCAGCUUUGGUUGGUGGGGUAACGGCCUACCAAGGCGACGACGGAUAGCUGGUCUGAGAGGACGAUCAGCCACACGUGGGACUGAGACACGGCCCAGACCUCCGUACGGGNGCAGCGAG